UACUGGACUGUUUGGUUCAAAACUGGACACCUGGCAACCCUAGAUUGAUCUGGUUUUAAACAACAUGGGUUACCUCAAUCUGUGCCCUGCCACCUCAGUCUUUGGGAUUUGCAAUGGCUUUCAUCCCAAAAGAAGCAUUUCUUAAUUUUUACUGGGUUUUCUACUAAUUUUAUUACUGGGGGUCAUGGAGCUCAUGUGAAGAAUGGUGACGUCUUUACAGCUCCAUCAAGGGCUUUCUCUCUAUGACCCUCAGUGAGUUUGUCUGAUGAAGCAAAGAAUACAAAGAGGUCUUUGCCAGUAGGAAAAGUUUAGGUGCCAUAGGCUCUGUUGCAGCCUGCUUCAUUUACCUUUUUCCUCUUUUUUUGGUAGAUGCUUUUUAUGAGCUUUGUUUGUUUCAUGGUAAGUAACCCAGAUGUAUGUAACUCUUCUAGCAGGCCAAUGCUAUGGCUGCCACAUGACAGCUAGAACUUCUUGUACUGUAUCUAAAGGCUUCUCUUUAUUGGUACCAACUAUAAACUCUUAACAGCUGCUGCUCCUCUGCCUUGAGAUGUUAAUGGUGAUCAUCUCCUUUCUGUUUCUGGGUCUGAGAAGCUGGGAGUUGCUUUUCAUCCCAGGGCAAGGUUAAUGGUUGAACAUUACAGAUAGCUUUUGAUAGAUUCAAGAUUUCCCCAGUCACUGUUGUGCUUAGCUACCACCCUGGACAUUUAUGCUCUUCUGCCAACCUGGGCUGUGGCCUGGGGUCCCUGGGCAUGAGUUUCUGGUUUGCACAGGAGUUUAAUGAAGAAAUCAUUUGGCUGUUUAGGAAAAACCAACAGCUGGUUCUAGAGCUUUUAUCAGUCUUACCUCCUGCUUAUUGCUCCCCCUAUUUUGAUUCUGUGGUAAGGUUUGAAACCUGACAGUAAUCUUACCUGUUUUCCCAAGCCAUUUAACUGAUUUAAUGAUGCCCUUUGAGCUACUUUCUGCACAAGGCUUUGGAUUGUGUUGUAAUAGAAGACGUGUACUAGAACAGAUUGUGUUGUACUAGAACACUCAGAGACCUAUCGGUGUGACAGUCACCUGGUAAUACACUCGCAACCAGUAAAACAUGUAGCUGUGCGUGUGCAUGUGGGCGCACACUCAACAUGCCUGUUUCUUCAAGGAGCCUAUUGGAAGAAGAGGGCAAAUCCAGCUGUGAAACAUGAGAGAAUGGAGACUCUGCCACUUAGAUUCACACAAAAGAAAACAUAAAACACAUCAGAAGCUGGAGAAUUCUGGGCAAGAAGUGGAGAAGAUAUCUUGAUUAAGAAGCAAUGCCGAGGAUUGUGGACAAGAGGAGGCACAAGCAGUUUCCCGCACAGGUGUUAAUAGGUGCCAAGACUGUCAAAUGAAGUAUUUGAUUUAGUAUAGUGGCAGGAGACAGUUAUUGCCACGCACACCUACAAUCACAUCUCUAGUACAAGUGAACUUGACUCCUGCCAUUCCCAUGCAAUGGCAGUAUGCGCUAAAGUGGAGCAUCUCUGUCUCAGCACAAGUCAGCAUUGCCGCUUCCUCCUUGGACAGUACAGCUUCCUUGAGUCUGUCUUCUUGCUAGAGAUGAUACCCUGCUACUAAAUUCAUUUCUGGUUCUCCUCUUUGCCAAGUGCAUCGAAUCUGUGCAGGGAACUGGAGAUCUACCUGGAGUGCUAACCAUCCUGCCAGUAGUCUGACUCCCCCAACUCCUGCCUCUCAUGCCUGGCGCCUCCCUAUAGCUAGCGUGUCAUAUGUGUGAGCAUAUUCUGAUACAAAGCCAGGGUUGGAAUUUGGAUUCCUACUUGCUAUACCAAUCUGCUUCAUUGGCUAUCCCAUCUCCUGCUGUGCCACGUUAGACCACUGGCCCCUUUAGCCCCAUACCUUGUUUAUGUAUCACUGGAAAGGUGCUUAAUGCUUUGCAGAUGGUGAGAAUACAAGGUCUCUGUCUGGACAUCUGACACCUACAUUCGAUAAUGUACAGAAAAAGGGGGACGGGAGGGCUGUGCCAUAAAAGCCCAGGGAUGGAGCUAUGGGUA